GCUUAACUUCAUCCUGAGAAAGGUAAGAUCAACGCCUGAGCAGUUCACCCCGAACUCCCUUUCAAGUUCAUGAAGAUUUUAUUAGCACAUUCAAUAGAAUCAAGCAGGUACCUGCACUCUGUGGAAGGAUAAGCAUGGAUAUUUUUAAGAGAAGAAAAAGUCACUGAGAAUUUUAAGCAGGCUAAGAAGCUCUUUCUCAGCAGAAGUUCAUCUACUGAACAGGACGGUAAGAGAAGAGACUAGCUAAAGCAAAUGACCUGGCACAACUCCUCCUGUGCAACUCUGGCCUAAUGAGCUCAAGAGCAGCCUCUGUAUGUUCUUAGAAGGAGGUAAUGACAAUUUUCCCUGAAAACUGCUUGAUAGUGUAGACACGGAAUUAGCUAUCCCAGGCAGCAGCUGUAGAAGAUAUUAGGAGAAACAGCUGGAAGAGGGGAGGGGAGGACAACUGGAAGGGAUCCAUAACCUCCCUACUCCUGCUGGCCAUGUUCUGCACCAUUCCCCUCCUUCCAUCAGUUCCAAGGAGCAGAGCCGGGCACCUCCCUCCAGUUCCCCUCCUCAGGGAGCUGCAGGGAGCAGUCAAAUUGCCUUUCAGCCUCCACUUCUCCAGACUGCACAACCACAGUUCCCUCAGCUUCUCCUCAUGGGACAUGCCCCUAGCCUUGUGCUAGCUUUGGUGCCUCUGAAUGCUUUCAAGGACUGUAAUAUUAUUUUUGUAUUGUACCUUUCUGAUUAACUCUGGGUAUGUCUGCAUGGCACAGCACAGAACAGUGCAAGAUACUUCUCACCCAAGCAGAGAAUUCAGUAAGGUGGCAUACUGCCUCCAAUACCCGAGCUUUAGUUUGGUUUUGCAUCUCUCUGUGUAGUUAUGUCCUUAGCACAGCAUACAAGAUCAGGCUGCAGUACACAUUCCUGCUUAUCCAUGAAGCAUGCAAUGGAAGUGCCUAAAAAUAAAGAAGGGGUGUGCAUCAACAAUUACGUCCUUUUGCUUCAUCUGAAAGUCUUCCACAAAGCCUAAUCAGUGGUUUACUGAACCUGAUGGAGAGAUUCCCAACAGCAUCACUUCAGAAUCCUCUAAACCCAAUAACAGAGAUAAAGGGCUGUUAUAAAUAAGAGGAAGAAGCAAGAACUGUAGUUCAAAGGAUGUUUCAAGAGGGAUGCAAACUCUGUGAUGCUUAAACAGCACUUAGCAG
ensembl:lncRNA